rnacentral:rRNA from 1 species
UACGUAGGGUGCGAGCGUUAAUCGGAAUUACUGGGCGUAAAGUGUGCGCAGGCGGCCGAGCAAGUCGAGUGUGAAAGCCCCGAGCUUAACUUGGGAACUGCGCUCGAAACUACUUGGCUAGAGUGUGGCAGAGGGAGGUGGAAUUCCACGUGUAGCGGUGAAAUGCGUAGAGAUCUGCAAGAAUACCCGUGGCGAAGGCGGCCAGCUGGGCCGGUUCUGACGCUGAGGCGCGAAAGCGUGGGGAGCAAACAGG